rnacentral:rRNA from 1 species
AGAACGAACGCUGGCGGCAGGCCUAACACAUGCAAGUCGAACGUGAAGCCACCUUCGGGUGGUGGAAAGUGGCAGACGGGUGAGUAACGCGUGGGAAUCUACCCAAUGGUACGGAAUGACUCAGGGAAACUUGAGCUAAUACCGUAUGUGCCCGAAAGGGGAAAGAUUUAUCGCCAUUGGAUGAGCCCGCGUCUGAUUAGCUAGUUGGUGGGUAAUGGCCCACAAGGCGACGAUCAGUAGCUGGUCUGAGAGGAUGAUCAGCCACACUGGGACUGAGACACGGCCCAGACUCCGUACGGGAGGCAGCAGGUGGGGAAUAUUGGAACAAUGGGCGCAACGCCUGAUCCAGCCAUGCCGGCGUGAGUGAGUGAACGGCCCGUAGGGUUAGUAAAGUCUCGUUUUCGGCGGGACGAAUAAGUGGACGGUACCCG